rnacentral:rRNA from 1 species
UUAAAUUGAAGAGUUUGAUCAUGGCUCAGAUUGAACGCUGGCGGCAGGCCUAACACAUGCAAGUCGAACGGUAACAGAAAGCAGCUUGCUGCUUUGCUGACGAGUGGCGGACGGGGGAGUAAUGUCUGGGAAACUGCCUGAUGGAGGGGGAUAACUACUGGAAACGGUAGCUAAUACCGCAUAACGUCGCAAGACCAAAGAGGGGGACCUUCGGGCCUCUUGCCAUCGGAUGUGCCCAGAUGGGAUUAGCUUGUUGGUGGGGUAACGGCUCACCAAGGCGACGAUCCCUAGCUGGUCUGAGAGGAUGACCAGCCACACUGGAACUGAGACACGGUCCAGACUCCUACGGGAGGCAGCAGUGGGGAAUAUUGCACAAUGGGCGCAAGCCUGAUGCAGCCAUGCCGCGUGUAUGAAGAAGGCCUUCGGGUUGUAAAGUACUUUCAGCGGGGAGGAAGGGAGUAAAGUUAAUACCUUUGCUCAUUGACGUUACCCGCAGAAGAAGCACCGGCUAACU